rnacentral:lncRNA from 1 species
CGCAGUUCCUGGCCCUGCACUACAGCUGAGCUCGCAGGGCCUCGGGAGCCACACAAGUUCCUUUUCUUCCCUGCGAAACAUUUGUUGCUGUCUUGACUUUUUGGGCAUCAUUGAGAAAACAUGUUGAUGUGUAUUAACGCCAAGGCCAUUUCGAUUCAUGGAGAAGAAAACGCCACUGGGGUCUAAUUAAGCCAUUGAUUUAAAACAAUGCUCAGAAAACGGUUGCAGAGACUCCGUGUUCCCUAAGUUACGAUGAGUUUGUUCCUGCCCGCAGAAGCCGCCUCGCCUCCGCAGUGCCACCUCUGCUGCCCCCAGCCACCGGCACAGCUGAGUCAAGCGAAUUAAAAAGAAAAAACAAAAACAAAAAACAAAUGAAGAAGCAACUGGUACGAGCAGAUUUGGUGCAAGAGAACCAAUCGCAGGAGCCGCCCAAGCUCACUUAGGAAAAGAGCUGAGCGACAGCAGCUGCACCCAGAAGGUGGAGACCGCAUGCGAACCCAGGAUCCCAGGCAGCACAAGGCUAGAGACCCUGCAAGCAGCCAUGGCUGUGCGUUCAUGCAGAGCGUCAUCACAGCCAACACGGUCUUCCUCCUGGUUAACCAAGAUCCCGUUUCAGCCAUUCUGGAAUUGCAGGGCUGGCCAGAACUUUAGGAACAAUACAUGCAAUGCCUUCAUUUUGUGAGUAACUGGUGUCCUGAAGAGGUGACACCCCUUGCUCAGGACGACUGUAAGAGAGGUCAUGGCCGAAUGGGGACCCCUCUAAUUUGAGAUUUGUGUAGACAAAUAAACCUUCUCCAUAAGAAACCAUUCACAUAAAUAAGCCACUCUGCCUGAUCAGCACCCUAAUCCC